CUUAAGAGCCAUAUCUCCCAGUGAAGCUAAGUAGGGUUGAGCCUGGACAGUACUUGGAUGAGAGACCUCCUGGGGGAAAACUAAGAUUGCUGCUAGAA
rnacentral:rRNA from 1 species